rnacentral:tRNA from 1 species
GACCUCGUAGCCUAAUCGGAUAAGGCACCAGCCUUCUAAGCUGGGGAUUGUGGGUUCGAGUCCCACCGAGGUCG